GAGUGACAUGAUGGUAUACCAUCUUUCGGGACUGACUUCACAUGGAGAGAGAGUUUUUACUGAUCACUC